UCAUAAAGAAACUGAGACUGAGUCUAAGUAAACCGACUGAUGCCAUAUUCAUAUUCAAAUUGGGAUCUGUCUGACUUCAAAAUCUCUAUUCCUUUCACAGCAGCAAAACUAAGGAUAAGAAGAAAGAAAACCCAAGAUUUAUAUGGUCUACCUAUCCAUUGCAAUGGAAGCAUGUGGAUGUCCAGUUUCCUCUGCACCAUUUGUUGAAGAGACUUUCUUUUCUUCAUUUUAUACUUCACUGAUUUGUGUCCAUAUUAAGGGUGCAUCUGGAUGGCCAAGAGAAAAUUAAUCACUGCCAAGCAAGCACCAAGAAAAUGUACAAUGUUCACAGGAAAUUUUGUUAUUGGCUUCUAAAGAAGUGAUGAGGAAACUGAGUUAUGAUGGUAGCCAUUACAAGAAUCUCGAAAGUCUACAAAUUGCUUAAACCAGGUUCUUGGUUUCUGAGGACUCCAGUGCCAACUGAAAAAUCCUGAGACUACAUAGUCUCCAGCUUUAUUUUUCCUUUCCUGAUAAUUUGGAGUCAAUAUCCUAGACACUCCACAGAGGUUACUGUCCAUUGCUUAUGGGAGGCCAUGUCUCUGUGCAUAGUUAGACUACCCCAUGCUGUGGGAUGGAAAAUCAGUUGGGAUGGAGCAGUGGAAAUCCUGAUUCCAUUUUGGGAGAGGAGACUGAAGAAAUAACUUCUUUGGUGUGUGGGUCAGCAAAAAAAAAGCAAUGGCGACAUCAAAUGAUAUUGAGUUUGUGGUCAUACCUUUAUUAUCACUGCCUGUCCAAAGAAUGGAAUGUUUCCUUUUUCUUUCAGACUUUUAAAAAACUUUCGGGCCUCCCUGGUGGUGCAGCGGAUGAGCGCUGGGUUGCGAAGCUGCCCGUGGCCUCUGCAACGCAGGUUCAAUCCCCGGCCGCCGGGGGAGGGUCCCACAUGAUGAGCAGACCUCUCCUGCUGCCCGCUGGUCAGCAGUGUACUUCAUCAGUCUGCCUGCUCUGCUCUCCCCUCUGGCUCUGGUGAAUUCUCUCACCCUCCCGCGCUUCUGACUGUUCCCAGUGCUUGUAUAAAUAAAUCUUAAAAAAAAAAAAAAGCAAUUGUACAUUAAAAAAAAAAUAAAGAACU